AACGAACGCUGGCGGCAGGCUUAACACACGCAAGUCGAACGCCCCGCAAGGGGAGUGGCAGACGGGUGAGUAACGCGUGGGAGCAUACCCUUUCCUGCGGAAUAGCUCUGGGAAACUGGAAUUAAUACCGCAUACGCCCUACGGGGGAAAGAUUUAUCGGGGAAGGAUUGGCCCGCGUUGGAUUAGCUAGUUGGUGGGGUAAAGGCCUACCAAGGCGACGAUCCAUAGCUGGUCUGAGAGGAUGAUCAGCCACAUUGGGACUGAGACACGGCCCAAACCCCGCCGGGAGGCAGCAGUGGGGAAUAUUGGACACUGGGGCCAAGCUCUCUCCAGCCAUGCCGCGUGAGUGGUGAAGGCCUUAGGGUUGUAAAGCUCUUGCACCGAUGAAGAUAAUGACGGUAGUCGGAGAAGAAGCCCCGGCUAACUUCGUGCCAGCAGCCGCCGUAAAAC
rnacentral:rRNA from 1 species